AAUCUUGCGCAAUGGGCGAAAGCCUGACGCAGCCACGCGGCGUGAAUGAUGAAGGUCUUAUGCUUGUACAAUUCUUUCACCGGGGACGAUAAUGACGGUACCCGGAGAAGAAGCUCCGGCUAAGUUCCUUCCAGCCGCCGCGGUAAUACGAAGGGGGCUAGCGUUGCUCGGAAUUACUGGGCAUAAAGGGCGCGUAGGCGGUCAUUUAAGUCAGGGGUGAAAUCCCAGAGCUCAACUCUGGAACUGCCUUUGAUACUGGGUGUCUUGGGUGUGAGAGAGGUAUGUGGAACUCCGAGUGUAGAGGUGAAAUUCGUAGAUAUUCGGAAGAACACCAGUGGCGAAGGCGACAUACUGGCUCAUUACUGACGCUGAGGCGCGAAAGCGUGGGGAGCAAACAGG
rnacentral:rRNA from 1 species